CGGAGGGGUCCGCACUGCGGGGCGAAAACCAACACCUCAGCUCCAAACCCAAAGGUUUCAAUAUCAGCCAAUCGCGGUCCGGGACUUCUCGGGACAACCAGAAACUCCUACCGGCGGUGAAUAGCACUGAGGAAAGCCUAUCCGAGUGGAGGUGGCGGAAGGGGUGGUGUCAUAACUAGCCAAUAGGAUGAAAGUAAUUGCUGUUGGGCGGGAGGAAGACCCAGCGAGCGUGCGUGAGGCCGCUCCCGGGAAGCAAUGGCAGGAAGCUCUUAGGGCCAAUGGCCGCGGCGAGCGGGCAGCGGUGCGCUUGCGCUCUGGGGCCCGGGGCUGCAGGCGGGAGGCGGGCAAAGUGGGGGAGGGGAGCGUGCUGGAGCUCCGUGGAGCUCCUGCAGCCGCGGCAGCCGCCGCCGCCGCAGCGAAGAGGCCAUGUUGUGUGGUGUGUGGGGCGGGGGGAGGAGGAGGAGGGAGUAAAGCCGAGAGAGGAGACGGGAGAGACACCACACACACGGCACAAGAUGGCCGGAGAGGCAGCAGCACCCAGAGCUGUCAGACGUUUUGCCGCGGCCAAGGUGCCCGCUGGCUGGCGGAGAGCUGUACUCGGGCGGCCCGGAAGCCCGCAGGAGCUGGGUGGCCGUGGCUGAGGCGAGGCGGACCUCGCACGGGUGCCGGAGCUCGUGGCCGAGACGUCCAGGGCUGCCCGGCCCACGACGCCGAAAGCUGGGCUGCGGCAGCGGCCGCGGAGGCGCGCCGGUCCCGGCCGCCUGGACCGAGCGUGGGCGGGAGGCUCUGGCGGGUGGUCAGUCCCGGUAUCGAAGAUGGAGACCAGAAGGUGCCAGUGGCAGAGUYAUACCCGGUUACUUACAGAGUUUAAAAUUAAUUUGCUGAUGGCUUGAACAAAUACAUCUUUUAUCCCAGGUAUGUCAUUUUGAAGACUGACAUUGCACUUUUAUCCUUGAGGAUUAAGGAGAUCUUUGGGAAAGUCUAUUUUAUCUA
rnacentral:lncRNA from 1 species